ACCUCUUGUGUUAUCUGCUCAGUGCCCAUCACUACAAUAUAGAGAUGCCACAAUGUAUGUGAAGAAUGGCGUUCCUCAAGACCCACCUGCUAAAUAAAUCACACCAAACAAGUUUAACAGUAAUUCUGGGACUCACAGCAGUGGCCCACUCAGGCCCUUGAGACUUUGGCUUCGGACUAAGAGACCAUUGGAAUCUGUAGUUCUGAGGCCUUCAGACUUGACUUGGAUUGAGCCACGCUUCUGGCCUCCCCGUUUCUCCGGCUUGCAGACGGCUCAUCGUGGGACUUCCCUGUUUCCAUAAUUGGACAUGUGGCAGGCAAGUUAAUCUUCAGUGGAAUAUGCAAAUAGGAUUUCUGAAUUUGGCAUGCAAAUGAAUUUGAGAGCUUCUGGGAGCAUCUCUUCCAAGAUUCUGGCUCAGAGGUGGAAGAGACUUGCCUUGUCUCAGCACUUUUUUCUCCUCCUGCCUUGUGAAGAAGUUUGUGUUCACUUCCCCUUCUGCCAUGAUUGGAAGUUUCCUGAGGCCUCCCAGCCAUGUGAAACUGUAAAUGAGCGUGAUCGUCUCCUAAGAUUUGUUGGUCUCUGAGGUCUUCCUUCCAUCAAGUCUAAAUAGAUGUCAGAUUUCAGAAAACGUGUAUAACUGUCUUGUUCCAUGAGCUGAUACACUCUGCUUUGUGCAGCAUCAAAACUGUGGAGGGGUCAGUAUCUUAGUAUGCUUUGCUUAAUAGUUGCUAUAAAGUGGAUUUCUGAAGAGAAUUUCUUGGCUAGAUAUUAAGAAAAAACUGGAAGCAGGACAACAAAAUAAUUGUGAGAAGAUUUUCAGGUAAUCCUAAUUAAAAAGAAAACAAAAAGUAGUCAUAUGGAAAUGUGCCUUCUGCUGAUAUUAAAAAGCAUACCAUUGGGUGUUAUUGAUCUGUUUGUCUAUGAUAUAGGUCCUGCCUUUCCCCAUUUCACAAAAAGAGGCAUUUUAUCUUGUCCUUCCUUGUUCCUCAGUUACUAUUUAAAUAGAAAUUAAAGCAAAGUUGGCAAAAUAAAAUGCCAGUUACAUUACAAGGAAAGAACAACCUGUUUCAAGGUCAUAUUUCCAAAGAGGAAAGAAAGUAUGUUUUAUUUGGCUUAUAAAUAAAGUAGCACUGACCCAGUGAAAGCAUAAACGUUUUCGAUUUUAAUCUACUGCACUCUAGCCACAUGUUAUGCAUAAGCGUGGAUUGAUCAGUUUUUAAAUAUCAAAUUAUUCCUAAAGUGAGUUAUUAAAUAAUUUUCAUGAUUUCAGAAGAAUAUGACCAUUACUUCUAUAACCAAUCAGAAUUAUAAUAAAUUUUUUGUACUGUCAGCUAAAAGAAAAUGCCCAGAAGCCAGAUAGCUGAAAUUGUUAUUUAUUAAAAUAACUUUUUAACCUAUAAUUACUGAUUUUAAAAAUAACUUAGUCUGAACCUGAGAACUGUGUUAUGUAUUUAAGCAGUAUUUACAGGUUAGGAGUUUUGAGUGUUCGUUAAGGUCUUAGCACAUUGCUGUAUGCCUUUUAUUGGCACAAUUCCAUUUAAUUUUCACAUCAGCCCUACGGAGUAAGUCUUGUUAUACUCAUGUUUAUAGAUGAAGAAGUUGACGUUCAAAGAGUUAACUUGCAUUAAAUCUUACAGACAGUAAAAGAUAGUGUAAGUGCUUGAACCCAGGUUCAUCUUAUUUAAAAUUACAGGACCUUUACAACUAAACUGCCGUAAAGAAAAGAAAGUCCUUACUGUUGAGGAAUAUGGAGAUUAAUGGGCAGGACAGGCAUGUAUGAACCAAGGACUGAGGAAGCACAAUUAAAAGAGUGACUUAUUCUGUUCAAAGUAGCAGAGGAAAAUCAACUUGCAUAAAAUUCAAAUAGAAGUCUUCCAGAAAAUAACAUAAACAUUAUUUCAAAUAGAGUCCUUCACUAAUUCACAAGCAUGAGUGUCGACUCUGUGCCAUCUGCUGCGCUCUGAAAUAUUAUGCAAAAGCCCUUUGUUACUAUGGUUAGUCUUGUGCUUGAUACAGACAUUCAAAGUGAAGUCAGCGUACUAAUAUCAAGAAAAGUGCUAUGUAUGUUCUGAGUGCUCAUGAUGCAUUAACUAAAGUGAAUGGAUUUUGUUGGCAUAAUAUGAAUAUAAUAGUAAAGCAAAAAUACUAAUUCAAGAAAUGAAUAAAGGAUGAAUGAGAAAGAAGUUUAUUAAUUAAAAUUUUAAGUAAAUAACUUUUUUAAAGUAAUGUGCAAUGCUCUACAAGAUUAUCCCAGCACAUUAGUUACUUCCUGUUUCUCUUACUCACUUUGGGCAGCUGCAUUAAGUCAGUUCACAAUGGAACCAUUUCUCAUACAGAGGCAGUAACUUACUAAACAGUCCUUUAGAAGGCAGCAGUGGUGAAUGCAGCUGCCAAAAGUGCUUGAUAGAACCUGGGAUUAGAAUUCACACUGGAAGAAGCUGGCUCAAUGUGUCAUACAAAUAUGAAAUGCAUGUAAUUGCAUGUUUCUAAAUUGAAACUCUGGCAUCUGUUGGAGUAUUUUUCUGAUGCCAAGAAACCAAAUGAAACAAAAAGUCAAGAAAAUCUGAAGUUGGAAACCCAAGUACCAUAUAAUAUCCGAAGUAAUAAGUUGCAUUGUUUCUUCUGUAACAUUUGGCUUUGUAGCUCUGAUUUGCCAUAGAAUGUGGUUUCUUUUGCCAUAAUAAAUGAUUUAUGUGAUGA
ensembl:lncRNA novel transcript